AUAGAGCCUGAUCCAAAGCCCACUGAAGUUAAUGGAAGUCUUUUCACUGACUCCAGUGGGCUUUGGAUCAGGGCCAUAAU
rnacentral:pre_miRNA from 1 species